rnacentral:rRNA from 1 species
AGGAUGAACGCUGGCGGCGUGCCUAACACAUGCAAGUCGAACGUCCUGUCUCGCAAGAGGCAGGGAGUGGCGGACGGGUGAGUACCACGUGGGUCAUCUACCGUGAGGUGAGGAAUACCGGCGAGAAAUCGCCGACAAGACCGCAUAGGCUCGAUGCAAGUCGAGCAAAGCUCUUUCGAGAGAGGGAGCGCCACACGAGGAGCCUGCGCCCGAUUAGCUAGCUGGUGGAGUAACGGUUCACCAGGGCGACGAUCGGUAGCUGGUCUGAGAGGACGAUCAGCCACACUGGGAUUGAGAACGGCCCAGACUCCUACGGGGGCAGCAGUGAGGAAUUUUCGUCAAUGGGGGCAACCCUGAACGAGCAACGCCGCGUGCAGGAAGAAGGUUUCGGAUCGUAAACUGCUUUUCUCGGGGAAGAGAAUGGACGGUACCCGAGGAAUCAGCCCGGCUAACUACGCGCCAGCAGCCGCGGU